UACGUAGGUGGCGAGCGUUGUCCGGAUUUACUGGGCGUAAAGAGCGCGCAGGCGGUCGUAUAAGUCGCGUGUGAAAGCCCCCGGCUCAACUGGGGAGGGUCACGCGAUACUGUUCGACUUGAAGGCAGGAGAGGGAAGCGGAAUUCCCGGUGUAGUGGUGAAAUUCGUAGAUAUUGGGAAGAACACCGGUGGCGAAGGCGGCUCACUGGCUCAUUACUGACGCUCAGGCGCGAUAGCGUGGGGAUCAAACAGG
rnacentral:rRNA from 1 species